AUUCUUUUAGUAUCAACCUAGUACAGUUGACUUCCAAUCAAUUAGCUUCGGCAAAAUCCGAAAAAGAAUA
rnacentral:tRNA from 1 species